rnacentral:lncRNA from 10 species
GCUUGCCCCAGGGUUCGCGGAGAUUCCUCCUGCCUUCCCACGAUGUCAGGUUGUUUUAUUGUAACUACAUAAUCAUUCCCGUCUAGCAAGAAUAACGUUUUGCAUUUGGAGUUCGUCUUUCUUAGGUAGAGAUGUUGUCUUACAAAUCCUUACUGGAAAGAGGUCUGGGUCUUCUCCUUCACCUCAAUUCGGAUUCUUUGUGGCCAAGAAAUUCCCACCUUACCACUUACAGGGAGGCCAUCGGGAUUACCCCUCUGUCACCCCCCCACCCCGCCCCGGCCCCGCCGCUCUUUUUUUGCUGCCUUUCAGCAACAGCGACUCAGUUUACACUGUUUAUAAAACAUACUCUUUAAGAAAAGGUCCUGAUGUUAAAAAAGGGGGGGAGGGAAUGUCACGAAGUCAUUUUCACUAUGUAUGUGUUCUGUCUUCUUAAUUGGAUUUGAAGACCUGAAGUUCUCUUUUUCUUUUCUUUUUCUUUUUUUAGUAGCCCCAAGUGCCCUGCAUUUGCUCUUCUAACAAAGUUCUGUUUGUUGACGGACUGACCGGCUUACCGACACAAAGAUGGGAAGCAAAUGGAGAGACGGAUCAAGGCCCUUCCUCGGCAUCUGGAGGAAGCUUGGGCGAGUGUCUUGGUCGCCAGAGCUCAGAGCUCUCCGCUGAACUCUUAUCUCCAACUUGGCAACUAGACCGCGAGCUUGCGAAGCAAGGAGAGGACAGGGAUGGUCACCUACCGAGAACCUCUGUGCUCCAGCGCUGGGCCUGGCAUGUUCCCCAUCCAUCAUCUCAUUUAAUUCCCAGGACAGCCCUUUGAGGUAGGGUUUACCAAAGGUGAAUGAAACAGAGCCUCGGGAAAUUGCCCAAGUUCACAUAGCCACGUGGCUGAGUGUUUGAAUCUGGAUCAGGCUGUCUGCAAAGUUUUUACCCUCAGCCCUAAUCCCCGCUGCCUAGGAGGGUAAGGAGGCUGUCUAGAGUGCAGGUUCAGGGGUCAGUAGGCCUGGGUUUAAAUUCCUACUUUGCCAUUUGUUAGCGGUGAAGUCUUAGGCCAAUGGCUUCAUGCUUUGGUCUUCAAUUUUCCCAUCUGUUAAAUGGGGAUAACAAUGGUACCUAAUCUGUGGGGGUUGCUUAGCCUGAUUGGUGCCCGCAGUGUAGUAAAUGGCCAAUAAAUGCUGUUAUCGUACUGGACCUUCUGAUUAUUUUCCUUUUGCCUCCCGU